UCCAUCUGCUUCAUCUCCUCUGUUGUGUGUUAAUUCUGUAUUUUAUUUUACGCUGGGAAAUAUCAGUGUGGCUCCAUUGACAGAGAUCCUGUUGGACACGAGGGACAUACUGUAAAGGUCUCAGGGAGUCUCUGGGGCUGCAGUCAUGUCACUGCUGGGGCCAGUGUACAUUUGGUGGCUGCAGUGCUGAGACCAGGAGUGCAGGAGACACUGUUGCUGAGAAAGAAAACUUGUAUAGAAGUGGGCUCUACUGCCUCUCAUUUCUCUUGUCAGUGUGUUGCUGCCCUGUUUUACAGAUCAGAAGUGAUAUGUCAGAGACUCUGGAUGAGACCAUUCCACUCAUUAAAGACAAGGUGCUGGAGAGGAACUACAUCUUAGCCAAAGCUGAUAAACUAGAGACAUCCUCUGCCAGCAGCUUGCCCCUGUGACCUGCCAGAACUCCACUGAACUGAAGACUUUUUUCCUGUGGACUAUCCAGCAGCUGCCUGCAACACAGUGGGAGGAAGGAACACAACCAAGUUUUCUUAGAAAGGACUCAGCUUUUCCAGGACUCCCUGCCUGGAGCUACUGGGAUACAGAUCAAGCCACUGACAGCUCUAAGUGGUCAUUAACAAACUCUCACCUGAUUUACUGAAGUCCUCCAUGAAAUAGUUUGGAAAACCUGCUCACAAAACAAGUUGAGGUUCAAGUUUUCUUUUAAAACAGAGAAACACAAGGAGCUCUUUUGCUGAUCUAAAUGCCAAAGUGUUUUUCCUGUAUUGUUCUUGAAACAUCAUCUACCCCUGGAGUUCAGAACUGGGACUGGCCAGUCCAACUUCCACUCCUCUGAGCUAUAAAAGCACAACAAGAGUUGUGUCCCUUCUGGGAGGGGGGAACAACAGGACACAUCUAAAUCAUCUCCACCUCCAGGUACCUGUUUUCCGUCAUCACACACAGAGUGAGUCCAACAAAUCCCAGAAAUGCUCAUUGCAGUGUCAGCAGCACAUGGAGCAGAGACUCAGCUUUGGCUCCCAGGGCCAAGUACAGUUAAACCCACCUGACUGCUCCAGAUCUCUGGGAAAUGGUUUUGCUGCUUAAAGUGUUGGAAAACACAGAAUUAUUCCC